UUAUAGAGGUUUCCAUGGCGCCUGUUUAUCAAAAACAUCUCUAUCUAUUUUUCUGAUAGUAAGACCUGCCCAAUGCUUAUUGUAAAUAGCCGCUUUAUCAGUGCUAAGGUAGCAUAAUCAUUAGCCUUCUAAUUUAAGGAUAGAAUGAAAGGUUCAACAUAUGAGUUUCUUUAUUAAUUAAUCUUCUUAAAAUUUACCUGAAAGUAAAAAGGCUUUCAUCAUUUGGGAAGACGACAAGACCCUGUCGAGCUUUACUUCUAGUUUUACUGGGGAGGUAACAAACUAAAUCUUUCUCUUUUAUCUUAUUUAUCUCCAAAAAGAAUUUUCACCAAGCUACCGCAGGGAUAACAGCAUAAUUUUUCUUUAGAGAUCAUAUCAAAAGAAGAAAUUGUGACCUCGAUGUUGAAUUAAUUUUUCUUUUAAGAGCAAGAUCUUAAAAAGAAAGUCUGUUCGACUUUUAAUUUUUUACGUGAUCUGAGUUCAGACCGGC
rnacentral:rRNA from 1 species